ensembl:lncRNA
AUGAUCAAAAUGCCUACAGACCUGUUUUUGCCUUUUCAAUAUGGGGUUCUGUGUGCAGAUAGAUGAGGAAAAAUACAAAUGUAAUCCAAUUUUGAACAAGUCUGUAACGUAACAAAAUGUGGAAGAAGUUAAGUGGGCUGAAUACUUUCCGAAGGCUCUGUAACUCUCAAUCCACAGUAUAGCAGGGGGUGUCGAGCCAUAAGAUAUACAUUUUUCCAGCAGCAUACAGUGUGUAGCCAUUGAGAUGUUUGUCAUCAUGUUUACCAUCAUGUUUACCAUGUUUACCAUAAUGUUUACCAAAGGUUUUCACACUGUACAGUGCUGCUCAGACAUCUUCCUCUCAUCUGUCCCGGCUGUGAUGUGCUCAGCAGGAUGUUUUUUGCUCUGCACUGUGUGUCUGCUCCUCUCAGGCUGCACUCGGCUCCUUGAAUGAGGGCGUCCGCUGAACAAAGGAGGCCUUAACAAUAGUGACAAUCAUUAUUAUGGAACGCAGAGAGAGAGGACGAGGUAGAUAACCUAGUUGAAGCAAGCAGGGAGCGGGUUCCAUGGUUAUAGAGCUGUGGAGAGAGAGGCAGGAGCUCCCAGUCUGGUUGUAAUUUACAGGAGAGCAGGUAGCAGUCAAGGAACCUCACUUCCUGAUGAUGUCACUUUCUGAGUAGGACACCCCCCACAUUUACAUAAGUAUUCUGACCCAGGACUGGCCUCCAGCUCCAGUAGCAGGAAAUGGUGUGUUUAGUCUUGGCCAGAACAUUGUUGUUUUCUCUGCCUCAGUAAACAGACAGCUGGAUAAUGUGGAGGAUGUAUGACAUGUUUACUGUGUAAUUUUGGGUUUAUCUGUUAUCGGUUAGGGCACCUACAGAGCAAAUUAAUAAUGUAGUUUAAUAAUGUUCUCAUGUAAUAAUGGAGGUUAGUUCUGUAAUAUAUAAUUGUGAUUGUAAACAUCUCAGGAUACGUCUCUCUCUCGCUCUCUCCAUCUCUCCCUCACUCUCUCUCAACAUCUCUGUGUUUCUCUGCCUCUCUCCCAUGAAUGUAAACAUUGUUAGGGCUACUGAUUUCAAGUGUCAGGGAGAGAGAAGAGAGUUUUUACACUAAUGUUGCUAUGACUGUAGCAGCUGCUGAGAGCGUUCUACUGUCUGACAGGACAAUAUUAGUGUAAAAACUCUCUUCUCUCUCCCUGACACUUGAAAUCAGUAGCCCUAACAAUGUUUACAUUCAUGGGAGAGAGGCAGAGAAACACAGGGAUGUUGAGAGAGAGUGAGGGAGAGUGAGGGAGAGUGAGGGAGGGAGGGAUGGGAAGAGAGAGAGAGCGAAAGAAAGAGAGAAGUAGCAUCGCCAUGAGGUGUUUACAAUCACAAUCACAUAUUACAGAACUAGCCUACAUUAUUACAUGAGAACAUUAUUAAACUACAUUAUUUAUUUGCUCUGUAGGUGCCCUAACCGAUAACAGAUAAACCCAAUAUUACACAGUAAACAUGUCAUACAUCCUCCACAUUAUCCAGCUGUCUGUUUACUGAGGCAGAGAAAACAACAAUGUUCUGGCCAAGACUAAACACAUAAUUUCCUGCUACUGGAGCUGGAGGCCAGUCCUGCUGCAGGAAGGAAUGGAUCUGAGUUCCCUGAAAGCAGUACAGUAACUUUCCCUUUUACUCCCUAGAAGAUCAUUGUUCUUCUUCUUUCCUCUAACUGGUUUCAGUGUUACACAAAGACACAGCCCCUGAAGGCAGACAGCAAUCUGAGUCUUAAAGCCACUUUUCUUCCCUCCAUUACUGGACCACAUGUCAGAGUCCAGUGGUCCUCUGGGUGAAACUGGAUCCCAGCAGAUUAAGAGAUCUAAUCCAGCCAUGUUGAAUCACAAAGGAACAUCCGGAAAUGUUUAGAGAGAUAAUUUAGACGACUCCACUGCCAGCUAGUCACGAGAACGAGGGGGGGGGGGGGGGGGGGGGGACCUCCCAAAUCAUCCCCUCUACCACUCCAUCCCUCUACCCUCUGA